rnacentral:rRNA from 1 species
UACGUAGGGCGCAAGCGUUAUCCGGAAUUAUUGGGCGUAAAGAGCUCGUAGGCGGUUUGUCGCGUCUGCCGUGAAAGUCCGGGGCUCAACUCCGGAUCUGCGGUGGGUACGGGCAGACUAGAGUGUGGUAGGGGAGACUGGAAUUCCUGGUGUAGCGGUGAAAUGCGCAGAUAUCAGGAGGAACACCGAUGGCGAAGGCAGGUCUCUGGGCCAUAACUGACGCUGAGGAGCGAAAGCAUGGGGAGCGAACAGG